UACGUAGGGGGCAAGCGUUAUCCGGAUUCACUGGGUGUAAAGGGAGCGUAGACGGCCAAGCAAGCCAGGGGUGAAAGCCCGGGGCCCAACCCCGGGACUGCCCUUGGAACUGCAUGGCUGGAGUGCGGGAGGGGCAGGCGGAAUUCCUGGUGUAGCGGUGAAAUGCGUAGAUAUCAGGAGGAACACCGGCGGCGAAGGCGGCCUGCUGGAUCGCGACUGACGUUGAGGCUCGAAAGCGUGGGGAGCGAACAGG
rnacentral:rRNA from 1 species